rnacentral:rRNA from 1 species
GACGGAGGAUGCAAGCGUUAUCCGGAAUUAUUGGGCGUAAAGCGUCCGCAGGUGGACAUACAAGUCUGCUGUCAAAGUGCAGAGCUUAACUCUGUAAAGGCGGUGGAAACUGUAGGUCUUGAGUAUGGUAGGGGUAGAGGGAAUUCCCGGUGUAGCGGUGAAAUGCGUAGAUAUCGGGAAGAACACCAGUGGCGAAAGCGCUCUACUGGGCCAUAACUGACACUGAGGGACGAAAGCGUGGGGAGCAAACAGG